GACGAACGCUGGCGGCGUGCCUAAUACAUGCAAGUAGAACGCUGAAGAGAGGAGCUUACUCUUCUUGGAUGAGUUGCGAACGGGUGAGUAACGCGUAGGUAACCUGCCUUGUAGCGGGGGAUAACUAUUGGAAACGAUAGCUAAUACCGCAUAACAAUGGAUGACACAUGUCAUUUAUUUGAAAGGGGCAAUUGCUCCACUACAAGAUGGACCUGCGUUGUAUUAGCUAGUAGGUGAGGUAAUGGCUCACCUAGGCGACGAUACAUAGCCGACCUGAGAGGGUGAUCGGCCACACUGGGACUGAGACACGGCCCAGACUCCUACGGGAGGCAGCAGUAGGGAAUCUUCGGCAAUGGGGGCAACCCUGACCGAGCAACGCCGCGUGAGUGAAGAAGGUUUUCGGAUCGUAAAGCUCUGUUGUAAGUCAAGAACGGGUGUGAGAGUGGAAAGUUCACACUGUGACGGUAGCUUACCAGAAAAGGACGGCUAACUACGU
rnacentral:rRNA from 1 species